AAGUUUGUUACUUUAGUUUGUUUAAUUUGUUUAUUUAGAGGGAUUUAUUUUGAUUGUAUGGGAAAAUUGUUUUUGUUUAUUUAGAUGCAGAUAAAUUGAACAAUGCUGACUGUGUAUGUUGACAGCUGCUGGUGUAGAUCUGGAUAAAUGCUUGAACAUCAACUGAUUUGUUAUACGCUAUCUGCCAAUGAAGAUUUGUCAAUUGGUGUUUCUCCCGUGUUGUUUUUGUUUGGUCACCUGGUUGGCCGGUCUCAGGAGUGUGCUGCAUAGUGGCAGCAUGUGUAUCGUGUGAAUUGUAUAUGAGUCCGGUUGGCCGGGGCUUUGUUUUGUUUUAUUUUGAUUGACACCUUCCCAGACUUAUGUCGCUAGCUUAACUCAUGGUGCUUGUCUUUUGUUUGCGCAUCCCUUUGUGUAUGGGAUUUAAUUUUGCUGUGUUUCUUUGGAGUUAUGAGUGAGGGAUUUAUGUUUUGAGUUGUGUAUUAUUUGAAUUGUGGUUAUUUCUGAGUGUUUAAUGUAAGAGGGCUGUCCCCCUAUGCCUAAAGGUUUGCCACACGCAACAAAAGCAGUUAUCAUAGCAAGAGAUUUGAGCUGGCUGUUAACCUCUUUGAGAGCUGGGACUAAUUUUGGAUGAGCUACUUGUAUUAAUUAUUUUAUGUUUUGGUGUUUGAUUGUGUAUAUUAUUUGCUGCCCUAUUUUGCAAUACAUUUUUGUACCUUGAGCCAUCUGAAGGGUUUUGUUUUUAGGCCCGUAAAUUUUUUUUAUUUAUUUUUUUCUCCUUCAAAUUUGUUUUGAAGUGGUGGCGUAGUGCUACACUGUUUCCACGUGGCUGGUUAACGAGGUGAUGUUAAUAAAAUUUGUGCCGUUAAAAUCAA